UACGUAGGCAGCAAGCGUUGUUCGGAAUUACUGGGCGUAAAGCGUGUGUAGGCGGUUGGGUAAGUCUGGUGUGAAAUCUCCCGGCUCAACUGGGAGGGUGCGCCGGGAACUGCCUGGCUGGAGUGCGGAAGAGGAGAGUGGAAUUCCCGGUGUAGCGGUGAAAUGCGCAGAUAUCGGGAGGAACACCAGUAGCGAAGGCGGACACUCUGGGCCGGUACUGGACGCUGAGGAGCGAAAGCGUGGGGAGCAAACAGGG
rnacentral:rRNA from 1 species